rnacentral:rRNA from 1 species
UUCACUGGGCGUAAAGAGCGUUGAGGCGGUUCCGUAAGUUGGGCGUGAAAGCUCCGGGCUUAACCCGGAGAUGUCGUUCAAUACUGCGGGGCUUGAGGACAGCAGAGGAAGGUGGAAUUCCCGGUGUAGUGGUGAAAUGCGUAGAUAUCGGGAGGAACACCCGUGGCGAAGNCGGCCUUCUGGGCUGUUCCUGACGCUGAAGGCGAAAGCUAGGGGAGCGAACGGGAUUAGAUACUCCGGUAGUCCUAGCUGUAAACGAUGGAUGCUGGGUGCGGGGGGUGUAAAUUCCCUCUGUGCCGAAGCAAACGCGUUAAGCAUCCCGCCUGGGGACUACGGCCGCAAGGCUAAAACUCAAACGAAUUGACGGGGGCCCGCACAAGCAGCGGAGCGUGUGGUUUAAUUCGAUGCUACACGAAGAACCCUACCUGGGUUUGACAUGCACGUGGUAGGGAACCGAAAGGGGACCGACCUUCGGGAGCGUGCACAGGUGCUGCAUGGCUGUCGUCAGCUCGUGCCGUGAGGUGUCGGGUUAAGUCCCGUAACGAGCGCAACCCUUGCCCUUAGUUACAAGUGUCUAAGGGGACUGCCCGGGACAACUGGGAGGAAGGUGGGGAUGACGUCAAGUCAGCAUGGCCUUUAUAUCCAGGGCUACACACACGCUACAAUGGCCAGUACAAUAGGUAGCCAAGUCGUGAGACGGAGCCAAUCCUUAAAGCUGGUCUCAGUUCGAAUUGUAGUCUGCAACUCGACUGCAUGAAGCUGGAGUUGCUAGUAAUCGCAGGUCAGCCAUACUGCGGUGAUACGUUCCCGGGCCUUGUACACACCGCCCGUCACGUCAUGGAAGCUGGCAACGCCUGAAGCCGGUGAGCUAACCCGAAAGGGGGCAGCCGUCGAGGGUGGGGCU